rnacentral:rRNA from 1 species
AACGAACGCUGGCGGCAUGCCUAACACAUGCAAGUCGAACGAGACCUUCGGGUCUAGUGGCGCACGGGUGCGUAACGCGUGGGAACCUGCCCUUAGGUUCGGAAUAACUCCCCGAAAGGGGUGCUAAUACCGGAUAAUGUCUUCGGACCCAAGAUUUAUCGCCUUUGGAUGGGCCCGCGUUGGAUUAGCUAGUUGGUAGGGUAAAAGCCUACCAAGGCGACAAUCCAUAGCUGGUCUGAGAGGAUGAUCAGCCACACUGGGACGGAGACACGGCCCAGACUCCUACGGGAGGCAGCAGUGGGGAAUAUUGGACAAUGGGCGAAAGCCUGAUCCAGCAAUGCCGCGUGAGUGAUGAAGGCCUUAGGGUUGUAAAGCUCUUUUACCCGGGAUGAUAAUGACAGUACCGGGAGAAUAAGCUCCGGCUAACUCCGUG